rnacentral:rRNA from 1 species
ACGAACGCUGGCGGCGUGCUUAACACAUGCAAGUCGAACGGUGAAGCGCCUUCCUUUUUGGUGGGUGUGGAUGAGUGGCGAACGGGUGAGUAACACGUGAGUAACCUGCCCCCUUCUUCUGGAUAACCGCAUGAAAGUGUGGCUAAUACGGGAUAUUCUGGGUCUGUCGCAUGAUGGGUCUGGGAAAGAUAUUGUUUCGGUGGGGGAUGGGCUCGCGGCCUAUCAGCUUGUUGGUGGGGUGAUGGCCUACCAAGGCGGUGACGGGUAGCCGGCCUGAGAGGGUGGACGGUCACACUGGGACUGAGACACGGCUCAGACUCCUACGGGAGGCAGCAGUGGGGAAUAUUGCACAAUGGGCGCAAGCCUGAUGCAGCGACGCCGCGUGAGGGAUGGAGGCCUUCGGGUUGUGAACCUCUUUCGCCAGUGAAGCAGGCCUGCCUCGUUUGUGGGUGGGUUGACGGUAGCUGGAUAAGAAGCGCCGGCUAACUACGUG